rnacentral:rRNA from 1 species
AGGACGAACGCUGGCGGCGUGCUUAACACAUGCAAGUCGAGCGGAAAGGCCCUUCGGGGUACUCGAGCGGCGAACGGGUGAGUAACACGUGAGCAACCUGCCCUCAGCUCUGGGAUAGCUCCCGGAAAACGGGAUUAAUACCGGAUAUGACCCUGACCGACAUCUGUCAGGGUGGAAAGGUUUACCGGCUGAGGAUGGACUCGCGGCCUAUCAGCUAGUUGGUGGGUAACGCCUACCAAGGCGACGACGGGUA